rnacentral:rRNA from 1 species
GUCGAGAAUAAUUCACAAUGGGGGAAACCCUGAUGGUGCAACGCCGCGUGGAGGAUGAAGGUCUUCGGAUUGUAAACUCCUGUCAUCUGGGAGUAAGACCUGACGGUGAAUAGCCGGCAGGGUUGAUAGUACCAGAAGAGGAAGGGACGGCUAACUUCGUGCCAGCAGCCGCGGUAAUACGAAGGUCCCAAGCGUUGUUCGGAAUCACUGGGCGUAAAGGGAGCGUAGGCUGCGCGGUAAGUCAGGUGUGAAAUCCCGGGGCUCAACCCCGGAACUGCACCCGAUACUGCCGUGCUAGAGUGUUGGAGAGGUGACUGGAAUUCUCGGGGUAGCAGUGAAAUGCGUGGAUAUCGAGAGGAACACUCGUGGCGAAGGCGAGUCACUGGACAACAUCUGACGCUGAGGCUCGAAGGCCAGGGGAGCAAAAGGGAUUAGAAACCCGUGUAGUCC